GACGAACGCUGGCGGCGUGCUUAACACAUGCAAGUCGAACGGAAAGGCCCUGCUUUUGUGGGGUGCUCGAGUGGCGAACGGGUGAGUAACACGUGAGUAACCUGCCCUUGACUUUGGGAUAACUUCAGGAAACUGGGGCUAAUACCGGAUAGGAGCUCCUGCUGCAUGGUGGGGGUUGGAAAGUUUCGGCGGUUGGGGAUGGACUCGCGGCUUAUCAGCUUGUUGGUGGGGUAGUGGCUUACCAAGGCUUUGACGGGUAGCCGGCCUGAGAGGGUGACCGGACACAUUAGGACUGAGAUACGGCCCAGACUCCUACGGGAGGCAGCGGUGGGGAAGAUUGCACAAUGGGCGGAAGCCUGAUGCAGCAACGCCGCGUGCGGGAUGACGGCCUUCGGGUUGUAAUCCGCUUUCGCCUGUGACGAAGCGUGAGUGACGGUAAUGGGUAAAGAAGCACCGGCUAACUACGUG
rnacentral:rRNA from 1 species